rnacentral:lncRNA from 13 species
AUGAACUUCUUUGAGGAAAAGAUCAUGAUUAUUAGAAAGCAAAUUACGGACUCCUCCUUAAAUCUGCGUAUUCCUUCAAAGCUCAGUUGUCCUGAGUCUGCACAACUCUGCCAGGACCUAGGAUCAAGAGAGACGCUCAAGUGUUUUAGUACUAUAUCUCUUGACACAAUGAUGAAAAUAAUCAUGGCCUCUAAACCGUCAAGCUGCAUACUGGACCCUAUUCCAACUAAACUACUGAAAGUGCUGCUUCCUGUGCUUGUUCCUCACAUGUUGAAUAUAAUAAAUGGCUCUAUAUCCACCAGAUGUGUACCAAACUCACUAAAAGUGGCAGUAAUAAAGCCUCUCUUGAAAAAGCCAAACUUUGACCCAGAAAAUUUUAAAAACUAUCGGCUUCUAUCGAAUCUCCCAUUCUUCUCAAAAAUUUUAGAAAAGGCUGUUGCGCAACAACUCACUGCCUUCCUGAAGACAAACAAUGUAUACGAAAUGCUUCAGUCUGGUUUUAGACCCCAUCAUAACACUGAGACUGCACUUGUGAAGGUGGUAAAUUACCUUUUAAUGGCAUCAGACCGAGGCUCUGCAUCUGUCCUCGUGCUCCUAAACCUUAGUGCUGCUUUUGAUACCAUCGAUCACCACAUAACUUCUAGGUUAGACUACUGCAAUGCUCUACUUUCCGGCUACCCGGAUAAAGCACUAAAUAAACUUCAGUUAGUGCUAAAUACGGCUGCUAGAAUCCUGACUAGAACCAAAAAAUGUGAUCAUAUUACUCCAGUGGCAAGGGCUCAUUUCAAGGUUUUACUGCUAACCUAUAAAGCAUUACAUGGGCUUGGUCCUACCUAUCUCUCUGAUUUGGUCCUGGGGUACAUACCUACACGUACGCUACGGUCACAAGACGCAGGCCUCCUAAUUGUCCCUAGAAUUUCUAAGCAAACAGCUGGAGGCAGGGCUUUCUCCUAUACAGCUCAAUUUUUAUGGAGUGGUCUGCCUAACCAUGUGAGAGACGCAAACUCGGUCUCAACCUUUAAGUCUUUACUGAAGACUCAUCUCUUCAGUGGGUCAUAUGAUUGA